rnacentral:lncRNA from 1 species
CAAGAAUGUCCAAAGAGGUGGAACAGCUUCCACAGAAGGGGCAAAGAGAUAAAGCAUCUGCAACCUAAGGAAGGGACGACUGGAAUGAAAUGCAGGGAACAGCGAGCACUGCUAAAUCUGCACUGAGCCACCAACCCCAGAGGCAGCACAGCCCAAGGAAGCACCACAGCUCCCUUGCCCUCUUUGAUGCUCUCUUGCCUCGGUGCUGGCUGCUAUCAAGGGCCAGAAGUGAGUGGAAAAGGUGAUCCUCCCGAGUAGCUGAACGUGCUACCGAGACGUCCGGUUAAACCGCACUGCAAAACACGAAUGCCAUCGGGGGAAUUUCCUCCGCGUUUGGGACGGCUCCUAAUGCGGCAGCGGAGCGGCGGCGCACGGUGACACACAGAGCCGUCAGCAGGGAAACACGAAAGGCAUCCGGGCCGCUGAGCUGCCAGAGGAGCCGCCGGGUUUCAUUGCGAGGGGCCCCAGCAUCAGCUCCGCAGCCGAGAAAACCUUUAAUUUGCUGGG